rnacentral:rRNA from 1 species
UACAGAGGUCUCAAGCGUUGUUCGGAUUCAUUGGGCGUAAAGGGUGCGUAGGCGGCGCGGUAAGUCGGGUGUGAAAUCCCGGAGCUCAACUCCGGAACUGCCUUUGAUACUGGCGACCUCGAGGCCGGAAGAGGUUAGUGGAAUUCCCAGUGUAGAGGUGAAAUUCGUAGAUAUUGGGAAGAACACCAGUGGCGAAGGCGGCUAACUGGUCCGGUACUGACGCUGAGGUGCGAAAGCGUGGGGAGCAAACAGG